AUGCCCGCCAAAAGACGAGCACACCCGUUCACCCUCCCCGGGUAUACGGGUCGACCAAUUUUGAACCCCGUCUGCUCUCUGCUGCUCGACGGUCAUAUAUAAUCUUGGAUCCUGGGAAGUAAGCGCCGAGGCUAUUCCCCGGGGUUCUGGAGCAACCCAAUCCAGCGCAGGAUCGGUUAUGCAGUCGACCAAUGUAUACUUCUCCGCACCCUAGCUUUCCACAACCUCCUCGGAUUCUGACAUUUUACAACCUGAAAUGCAGCAAAAACAAAGUGAAUUCGAUGAUCAAAUCCACCCUUUCACCGCAAUUCAAGUGAAAGGGCGCAGGAUAGGACGAGGACGCUGUCCCCGACCAAAGCCCUUUUCAAAUGGCAAUUAAAAUCAAACCAAGGAGGGUAGCCCAGGUGAAAGACGGGGAGAUAAGCUUCCCGUCUUUGAAUUUCAAACAACGAAUUUCAUGAAAAAAUUCCUAAGUUAAAAAGGGAGAACAUGCUCCCCAGCAAUAAAAACUAUCUAAAGUUUCAAACGGGGAGAUAGGCUCCCCGUCACCUAAACAAACUAUCUAAAAGUUUCAAACGGGGAGAUAGGCUCCCCGGCUCUUAAAAUAAACUAUCUAAAGUUUCAAACGGGGAGAUAGGCUCCCCGUCACUAGUU
rnacentral:lncRNA from 1 species